rnacentral:tRNA from 1 species
AGUCCCGCAGUGCAGUUGGUUAUCACACCAGUUUAACACACUGGUCGUGGUCCCUGGUUCGAGCCCAGGCGAAAUCC